GGGUUCGGUCAAAUGGUGUGUUCAUCAAGAUAUAUAUUUUUAUAUGAUAAAUAGAUUUUUUAUUUGAUGAAAACUAUACCCUACUAGCAUUCCGAGUAAUAAAUAACAAAAAUAAAAAGUUUAACGUCAAUAUGAUAUGAAAAUAGAUUUCCAGUUGAUUGGAUAUAGUUUUUGUAAAUUUAUUAGAAUAAUAUAUUUUUGCAUUAACAAAAUACUAAACAUUUCUUACAAAAUUAUUGCAAAUUAAAAAAAUACAGUA
rnacentral:lncRNA from 1 species